AAGAAAACGGUUCAGCACUAAGUCACUUUGUCUAUAUGGCAAAUGUGAGAUGCAGUGUAUGGAGCGUCAAUAUUCUAGUAUGAGAAAUUAACGAUUUAAGUCCUUCUUAAAUGAGGCCAUUUACCCAUAGAGGGUGCCAGGCCCAUAUAACGUUAAUGAUUACUAGAUGAUGUUUCCAAAGAGCCGUGUUGCUUGAUAGUGCAGCACUUAGUGGGUGGUAAACUCCAUCUAAAACUAAAUAUAACCAUGAGACCGAUAGUAAACAAGUACCGUGAGGGAAAGUUGAAAAGAACUCUGAAUAGAGAGUUAAACAGUACGUGAAACUGCUUAGAGGUUAAGCCCGAUGAACCUGAAUAUCCGUUAUGGAAAAUUCAUCAUUAAAAUUGUAAUAUUUAAAUAAUAUUAUGAGAAUAGUGUGCAUUUUUUCCAUAUAAGGACAUUGUAAUCUAUUAGCAUAUACCAAAUAUAUCAUAAAAUAUAACUUAUAGUUUAUUCCAAUUAAAUUGCUUGCAUUUUAACACAGAAUAAAUGUUAUUAAUUUGAUGAAGUGCUGAUAGAUUUAUAUGAUUACAGUGCGUUAUUUUUUCGGAAUUACAUAAUGGCAUAAUUAUCAUUGAUUUUUGUGUUUGUAUGAUUAACAAUGCGAAAGAUUCAGGAUACCUUCGGGACCCGUCUUGAAACACGUACCAAGGAGUCUAACAUAUGUGCAAGUUAUUGGGAUAUGAACCUAAUAGCGUAAUUAACUUGACUAAUAAUGGGAUUAGUUUUUUACCGAUUUAUAGCUAAUUAACACAAUCCCGGGGCGUUCUAUAUAGUUAUGUAAAAUGUAUAUUUAUAUUAUUUACGCCUCUAACUGGAACGUACCUUGAGCAUAUAUGCUGUGACCCGAAAGAUGGUGAACUAUACUUGAUCAGGUUGAAGUCAGGCGAAACCCUGAUGGAAGACCGAAACAGUUCUGACGUGCAAAUCGAUUGUCAGAAUUGAGUAUAGGGGCGAAAGACCAAUCGAACCAUCUAGGAGCUGGUUCCUUCCGAAGUUUCCCUCAGGAUAGCUGGUGCAUUUUAAUAUUAUAUAAAAUAAUCUUAUCUGGUAAAGCGAAUGAUUAGAGGCCUUAGGGUCGAAACGAUCUUAACCUAUUCUCAAACUUUAAAUGGGUAAGAACCUUAACUUUCUUGAUAUGAAGUUCAAGGUUAUGAUAUAAUGUGCCCAGUGGGCCACUUUUGGUAAGCAGAACUGGCGCUGUGGGAUGAACCAAACGUAAUGUUACGGUGCCCAAAUUAACAACUCAUGCAGAUACCAUGAAAGGCGUUGGUUGCUUAAAACAGCAGGACGGUGAUCAUGGAAGUCGAAAUCCGCUAAGGAGUGUGUAACAACUCACCUGCCGAAGCAACUAGCCCUUAAAAUGGAUGGCGCUUAAGUUGUAUACCUAUACAUUACCGAUAAAGUAGAUGAUUUAUAUUACUUGUGAUAUAAAAUUUGAAACUUUAUUGAGUAGGAAGGUACAAUGGUAUGCGUAGAAGUGUUUGGCGUAAGCCUGCAUGGAACUGCCAUUGGUACAGAUCUUGGUGGUAGUAGCAAAUAAUCGAAUGAGACCUUGGAGGACUGAAGUGGAGAAGGGUUUCGUGUGAACAGUGGUUGAUCACGAGUUAGUCGGUCCUAAGUUCAAGGCGAAAGCCGAAAAUUUUCAAGUAAAACAAAAAUGCCUAACUAUAUAAACAAAGCGAAUUAUAAUACACUUGAAUAAUUUUGAACGAAAGGGAAUACGGUUCCAAUUCCGUAACCUGUUGAGUAUCCGUUUGUUAUUAAAUAUGGGCCUCGUGUUCAUCCUGGCAACAGGAACGACCAUAAAGAAGCCGUCGAGAGAUAUCGGAAGAGUUUUCUUUUCUGUUUUAUAGCCGUACUAUCAUGGAAGUCUUUCGCAGAGAGAUAUGGUAGAUGGGCUAGAAGAGCAUGACAUAUACUGUUGUGUCGAUAUUUUUAUCCUCGGACCUUGAAAAUUUAUGGUGGGGACACGCAAACUUCUCAACAGGCCGUACCAAUAUCCGCAGCUGGUCUCCAAGGUGAAGAGUCUCUAGUC
rnacentral:rRNA from 1 species